rnacentral:rRNA from 1 species
GGUUAAGCGAAUAAGCGUACACGGUGGAUGCCUAGGCAAUCAGAGGCGAUGAAGGACGUGCUAAUCUGCGAAAAGCGUCGGUAAGGUGAUAUGAACCGUUAUACCCGACGAUAUCCGAAUGGGGAAACCCAGUAUCCAAUGGAUACUAUCAUUAACUGAAUCCAUAGGUUAAUGAGGCGAACCGGGAGAACUGAAACAUCUCAGUACCCCGAGGAAAAGAAAUCAACCGAGAUUCCCCUAGUAGCGGCGAGCGAACGGGGAGCAGCCCAGAGUCUUAAUCAAUAACAGUGUCAGGAGAACGGUCUGGAAAGUCCGGCAGUAAAGGGUGAUAGCCCCGUAUCUGAAGAUGCUGUUAUUGUGAACUCGACGAGUAGGGCGGGACACGUGUUAUCCUGUCUGAAUAUGGGGGGACCAUCCUCCAAGGCUAAAUACUCCUGAUUGACCGAUAGUGAACCAGUACCGUGAGGGAAAGGCGAAAAGAACCCCGGCGAGGGGAGUGAAAAAGAACCUGAAACCGUGUACGUACAAGCAGUAGGAGCCUCUUUAUGGGGUGACUGCGUACCUUUUGUAUAAUGGGUCAGCGACUUAUAUUCUGUAGCAAGGUUAACCGUAUAGGGGAGCCGUAGGGAAACCGAGUCUUAACUGGGCGAAUGAGUUGCAGGGUAUAGACCCGAAACCCGGUGAUCUAUCCAUGGGCAGGUUGAAGGUUGGGUAACACUAACUGGAGGACCGAACCGACUAAUGUUGAAAAAUUAGCGGAUGACUUGUGGA